UCUACAUUUGUCAGUGCCACGGCGCUUUUUUGCUCGGGGUAAUUAUGUGACAUUGUCUCACAAGGCUGCCUGGAGAUAUUCCUGCUGCAGGAAAGGAAGCGAGCAGGCCUGACAGCCCAGGGCAGGCAGCCAUGACAUCAGAUUUCUUCCUCUGCAUAAGCAGCAUUAAGAGGAGAGGGAGGCUGUUUCCAGCUGAAGAAUCGCCGAUAUGAGUCUGUAUCACCCUAAAAAAGAUGUUUUUACUAAAACUUUUCAAUGUUUUUCAGUAGCUAGAGCAACAUUCGUAUUAGAUUUAAAAUAUUGUCACCAAUAAACACAAUUAAAGGCAGAAUUGCAUUUAAUUCUACCGUUACACCCUUUUCCAACAGCCACUAGGUUUUGUUCAGUGUUGCAGGAAGAUAUAUUCUGAAUGUGUCUGUAGGCCAUUGCUGUGCAAACAGACCCAAAACAAGCAUGCACAUGCAAACAAUGUCACAUUAGGUCAAUUCAAAGUCAACAACAAACACAUCAUGCAUCGUGGCAGCAGAGAACAAGCCGCAGAAACGCAGACAUGCAGAGUGGGAACGUGAAAGCUCGCAACUGAAUGAUGCAGUGCCAGUGGCUGCACCUCUUGUUUGCGUUGGUUGUGGAUAGUCUGAUUACCUCGAUUUACUUUUUUAAUCUUUGUUUGAAUAUCAGGUUCACUGGGUCGUUUUGCAAGCUUUUUGGCUUUUUUUUUUUUGUCACUGUUUGACUUGUACUCUGUGAGAGACACAGUGUGUUGUUUUGUGCUUCACACUAUUAGCAUUAGAGUUAUUUUGAUAGCUUUA